AGCAGCAUGGCGCAGUGGUAGCGCGCGGGGCCCAUAUGGUGUCACCCCGAGGUCACUUGAUCGAAACAAGUUGCUGCUA